GAACGAUUGGUGAAAACCGACACGUCAACAACCAAAAAUCUAUGGGUUGAUAAGCCGAUUUACUGUAUAACCGGACAUUUCAUGAUUUCUGCACUAUGACAAUUCCAUAAAAGUGUAGAGCAUGACGAGAUAUAUGUCUGCAAGUGACUCUUUGCGGCAGAAAAUUGCAGUCGAUUCUGCAUGUGUUAUAAAAAUGGAUGAAAAGGUGGACAAGACCAAUAAAGAUCUUGAUAGGCCCGUAGUAAAACUAUGGUUUGUUGACAUAUCUGAUUUUGGACGGACUUCUCAAUUUUUACUUCUUUCGUCAGCCAUAUUUGUAGCGUAUCUAAUAUAUGGAUAUUUACAGGAGCUGAUAUUUAGGCUUAAAGAGUUCCGUCCAUUUGGUUGGUAUCUCACACUUGUGCAGUUCCUAUGUUAUUUGAUAUUUGGACUUCUUGAAAUGUAUGUGAGGAAAAAUUUCACAAGAAAAAUUCCUUUGAAAACAUAUGCACUCCUGGCUUUUCUCACUGUUGCAACCAUGGGUCUUUCCAAUACUUCAGUUGGAUAUCUGAAUUAUCCCACCCAGGUUAUCUUCAAAUGCUGUAAACUAAUACCAGUCAUGGUGGGCAGUAUACUUAUUCAGGGUGAGAGGAAGGCGAUACAACUGUUUAGAUGUCAGUGCCAUGCUCAGUAUGGUGAUUGGGCUGAUAUUAUUUACUCUAGCAGAUAGUAGCGUUUCUCCCAACUUUAAUACUUAUGGUGUUAUUUUAAUUUCUUUGGCUCUAUGUGCUGAUGGUGCUAUUGGUAAUGUCCAGGAAAAAGCUAUGAAGCAGCAUGAAGCCUCUAACACAGAAAUUGUCUUUUAUUCAUAUGGAAUAGGAUUUUUCUACAUUUUGGUUGGGUUAGUUAUCUCAGGAAAUUUUUUCCCUGCAUUUGAAUUUUGCAGACAACAUCCAGUACAAACUUAUGGUUAUGGACUUUUAUUUUCCAUAUCUGGAUAUAUUGGAGUGGCAUUUGUACUUUCACUAGUAAAAGCCUCUGGAGCCUUAAUAGCUGUAACAGUGACAACAUGUAGAAAAGCUGUAACCAUUGUCCUGUCCUUCCUUUUCUUCUCCAAGCCAUUUACAUUUCAGUAUGUGUGGUCUGGACUGUUAGUUGUGAUCGGAAUUUAUCUCAAUGUGUACAGUAAAAAUCGGACUUCAAUGGAUCAAGUGAUGCUAGAUACAUUCACAAGAAUGCAGACAUGUUUCAGAUCCAAAAGAACAAGUUAUAGAAAUACACUUACUGAGGUCUAGCUUAAAAAUGCAAGGAACAGUGACAGUUGAAUACAUGUACAUUUACAUUUGUAAAAUGGCUAAGAAAUAAUGAUAUAACAUUUUAUUUCAUUCUCUAGUCUAACCAUACUGAUUCUCUGAUGACAGUCUCAGAAAAAAUUUCCAUAAUGUGUUCAAGGUAACAGUUACAUGUAUUUAUAACUGCUUCUUAAAGUUUUUACAAGACUUCAGUAACCUUGAAAUCUUGUGAAUGAAGUAUGUUAAUUUGUAAGGUGUAAAUAUUGCAUUUUAUUUAUUGAAGAAGUAAUGAUGAGAAAUGAUGGAAAUUAAGUGAUUUUUAUAUAGUUAUAUAGAUUAUUCAUAAUUAUUCUUACACAUGAAUUUCUUAAUCAGGUAGGCCUUCUUUCCUUUUAUUUAUUAUUUAAAGGGUGUAAAUGGUGAUAUGUACAGAAUACAUUAUCAUUGUAUUUUCAUGAUAGCUAUUUACUGUAUUGUUCUUUUACAUCAAAAUAAAUACAUUUUUGUUACUUU
rnacentral:misc_RNA from 1 species